rnacentral:lncRNA from 1 species
UAAGACCACACGUGUCAUGACUCAUGACAUGCUAAUUUGGUUAAGUGUGUUUUAAUGUCUAGACUUACAAAAUGAACGCCACUGCACAGUGCAUAGUAGCGUGUUAGGAUUAACCGACGACAAUUUCUCUUACUAAAAAAAAAGAUACACCAUCUUCCGUGAACGCGUGAUUGUCGUAUGUAAGGCAACCAUAAUGUGAUAAAUAA